rnacentral:misc_RNA from 1 species
AACGAGGCCGACCUGCGGCUGAGUUACCUGCGGAGGGAUCAUUACAAGUGACCCCGGUCUAACCACCGGGAUGUUCAUAACCCUUUGUUGUCCGACUCUGUUGCCUCCGGGGCGACCCUGCCUUCGGGCGGGGGCUCCGGGUGGACACUUCAAACUCUUGCGUAACUUUGCAGUCUGAGUAAACUUAAUUAAUAAAUUAAAACUUUUAGCAACGGAUCU